UAACACAUGCAAGUCGAACGAUCCUUCGGGAUAGUGGCGGACGGGUGAGUAACACGUGGGAACGUACCUUUAGGUUCGGGAUAACUCAGGGAAACUUGAGCUAAUACCGGAUAAGCCCUUUUGGGGAAAGAUUUAUCGCCUUUAGAGCGGCCCGCGUUAGAUUAGCUAGUUGGUGAGGUAAAGGCUCACCAAGGCUCCGAUCUAUAGCUGGUCUGAGAGGAUGAUCAGCCACACUGGGACUGAGACACGGCCCAGACUCCUACGGGAGGCAGCAGUGGGGAAUCUUGCGCAAUGGGCGAAAGCCUGACGCAGCCAUGCCGCGUGAAUGAUGAAGGUCUUAGGAUUGUAAAAUUCUUUUAGCAGGGACGAUAAUGACGGUACCUGCAGAAAAAGCCCCGGCUAACUUCGUGCCAGCAGCCGCGGUAAUACGAAGGGGGCUAGCGUUGCUCGGAAUUACUGGGCGUAAAGGGAGCGUAGGCGGGUUAUCAAGUUGGAGGUGAAAGCUCCAGGGCUCAACCUUGGAAUUGCCUUCAAAACUGAUAACCUAGAGGAUGAUAGAGGUAAGUGGAACUCCGAGUGUAGAGGUG
rnacentral:rRNA from 1 species